UUGGGUGUUCUGAGAGGGGUUUACCAGG
rnacentral:piRNA from 1 species